AAAAAGACAAACCCUGGGUUUCCGUGUCCAACGUUUGCAUGUCCGUUUUAUAUGAAAUUUUUUUAUAAUUAGUAUUUUUAUUGUUGUUAGAUGAUAAAACAUGAUUAAUACUUUAUGCGUGACUUAUCUUUUUAAUUUUUUUUCAUAAUUUUUUUAAAUAAGACGGACGAUCAAACGUUGGACACGGAAAGCCAUGGUUUGUCUUUUU
rfam:Oryza glumipatula chromosome 11, whole genome shotgun sequence.